UACGUAGGGGGCGAGCGUUGUCCGGAGUUACUGGGCGUAAAGCGCUUGUAGGCGGUCCACCAAGUUUGGGGUGACAGUUGCCGACUUAAUCGGCAAAGUGCCUCAAAGACUGGCGGACUUGAGGGCCACAGAGGGACAUGGAACUCCAGGUGUAGUGGUGAAAUGCGUAGAUAUCUGGAAGAACACCAAAGGCGAAGGCAGUGUCCUGGGUGGUACCUGACGCUGAGAAGCGAAAGCCAGGGGAGCGAACGGG
rnacentral:rRNA from 1 species